rnacentral:rRNA from 1 species
GAUGAACGCUGGCGGCGUGCCUAAUACAUGCAAGUCGAGCGAACAGACGAGGAGCUUGCUCCUCUGACGUUAGCGGCGGACGGGUGAGUAACACGUGGAUAACCUACCUAUAAGACUGGGAUAACUUCGGGAAACCGGAGCUAAUACCGGAUAAUAUAUUGAACCGCAUGGUUCAAUAGUGAAAGACGGUUUUGCUGCCACUUAUAGAUGGAUCCGCGCCGCAUUAGCUAGUUGGUAAGGUAACGGCUUACCAAGGCAACGAUGCGUAGCCGACCUGAGAGGGUGAUCGGCCACACGGUAACUGAGACACGGUCCAGACUCCUACGGGAGGCAGCAGUAGGGAAUCUUCCGCAAUGGGCGAAAGCCUGACGGAGCAACGCCGCGUGAGUGAUGAAGGUCUUCGGAUCGUAAAACUCUGUUAUUAGGGAAGAACAAAUGUGUAAGUAACUAUGCACGUCUUGACGGUACCUAAUCAGAAAGCCACGGCUAACUACGUG